rnacentral:rRNA from 1 species
AGGACGAACGCUGGCGGCGUGCUUAACACAUGCAAGUCGAGCGGAAAGGCCUUUCGGGGUACACGAGCGGCGAACGGGUGAGUAACACGUGGGUGAUCUGCCCUGCACUUCGGGAUAAGCCUGGGAAACUGGGUCUAAUACCGGAUAUGACCUCAGGUUGCAUGACUUGGGGUGGAAAGAUUUAUCGGUGCAGGAUCGGGCCCGCGGCCUAUCAGCUUGUUGGUGGGUAAUGGCCUACAAGGCGACGACGGGUAGCCGACCUGAGAGGGUGACCGGCCACACUGGGACUGAGACACGGCCCAGACUCCGUACGGGAGGCAGCAGGUGGGAAUAUUGCACAAGUGGGACGAAAGCC